GGAGAGGUACCCGAAGUGGCCCAACGGGGAUUCGGAAUCGGGUGCAAGCCCCCGCAGGUUCGAAUCCUGCCCUCUCCG
rnacentral:tRNA from 1 species